CGCGAAGAACCUUACCUGGUCUUGACAUCCACAGAACAUUCCAGAGAUGGGAUGGUGCCUUCGGGAACUGUGAGACAGGUGCUGCAUGGCUGUCGUCAGCUCGUGUUGUGAAAUGUUGGGUUAAGUCCCGCAACGAGCGCAACCCUUAUCCUUUGUUGCCAGCGGUCCGGCCGGGAACUCAAAGGAGACUGCCAGUGAUAAACUGGAGGAAGGUGGGGAUGACGUCAAGUCAUCAUGGCCCUUACGACCAGGGCUACACACGUGCUACAAUGGCGCAUACAAAGAGAAGCGACCUCGCGAGAGCAAGCGGACCUCAUAAAGUGCGUCGUAGUCCGGGUUGGAGUCUGCAACUCGACUCCAUGAAGUCGGAAUCGCUAGUAAUCGUGGAUCAGAAUGCCACGGUGAAUACGUUCCCGGGUCUUGUACACACC
rnacentral:rRNA from 1 species